rnacentral:misc_RNA from 1 species
GUCUUAUUGAAUAUAAUUUUAAGUCUAAUCUGCCCAAUGAUAAAUUUAAUGGCUGCAGUAUUUUAACUGUACAAAGGUAGCAUAAUAAUUAGUUCCUUAAUUAGGGACUGGAAUGAAAGAUUGCACGAGAUAAAAAUUGUCUCUUUAUAAAUUUUAUAAUUUUAUUUUUAAGUUAAAAAGCUUAAAUGAUAUUAAAAGACGAGAAGACCCUAUAGAGUUUAAUAAUUAGAUUUUAAUUAAAUGUUAGAAUUAAAAUUUUUUUGAAUAAUAGUUAUUUGAUUGGGGUGAUCUAAAAAUUUAAUAAACUUUGAUAUUAUUUACACUAAUUAGUGAUUAAUUGAUCCAUAUUUUAUGAUUAAAAGAUUAAAUUACCUUAGGGAUAACAGCGUAAUUUUUUUAGAGAGUUCUAAUCGAAAAAAAAGAUUGCGACCUCGAUGUUGGAUUAAAAUAAAUAUUUGGUGUAGUAGCUAAAAUAUUAGGUCUGUUCGACCUUUAAAAUUUUACAUGAUCUGAGUUUAAAUCGGCGUGAGCCAGGUUGGUUUCUAUCUUUAAUAAAAUAUAAUAUUUUAGUACGAAAGGACCAAAUAUUAAUAAUAUUUAUUUAUUUGUGAUUUAUAUUAAAUUAUUGAUUUGGCAGAUUAGUGCUUUAAAUUUAGAAUUUAAAUAUGUAUUUAUAUUACAUUCAAUA